rnacentral:rRNA from 1 species
UUGAACGCUGGCGGCAUGCCUUACACAUGCAAGUCGAACGGCAGCACGGGAGCAAUCCUGGUGGCGAGUGGCGAACGGGUGAGUAAUAUAUCGGAACGUGCCCAGUCGUGGGGGAUAACGUAGCGAAAGCUACGCUAAUACCGCAUACGAUCUAUGGAUGAAAGCGGGGGAUCGCAAGACCUCGCGCGAUUGGAGCGGCCGAUAUCAGAUUAGGUAGUUGGUGAGGUAAAGGCUCACCAAGCCGACGAUCUGUAGCUGGUCUGAGAGGACGACCAGCCACACUGGGACUGAGACACGGCCCAGACUCCUACGGGAGGCAGCAGUGGGGAAUAUUGGACAAUGGGCGCAAGCCUGAUCCAGCCAUGCCGCGUGCAGGAUGACGGUCCUAUGGAUUGUAAACUGCUUUUGUACAGGAAGAAACACUGGUUCGUGAACCGGCUUGACGGUACUGUAAGAAUAAGGAUCGGCUAACUCCGUG